rnacentral:rRNA from 1 species
UACGAAGGGGGGCUAGCGUUGCUCGGAAUCACUGGGCGUAAAGGGCGCGUAGGCGGCGUUUUAAGUCGGGGGUGAAAGCCUGUGGCUCAACCACAGAAUGGCCUUCGAUACUGGGACGCUUGAGUAUGGUAGAGGUUGGUGGAACUGCGAGUGUAGAGGUGAAAUUCGUAGAUAUUCGCAAGAACACCGGUGGCGAAGGCGGCCAACUGGACCAUUACUGACGCUGAGGCGCGAAAGCGUGGGGAGCGAACAGG